UAGCAAUACGGCAGCGGCAGACGGGAGAGUAACACGUGGGAACGCGCCCUUCGGUUCGGAAUAACUCAGGGAAACUUGGGCUAAUACCGGAUACGCCCUAACGGGGAAAGAUUUAUUGCCGAAGGAACGGCCCGCGUCCGAUUAGCUUGUUGGUGAGGUAACGGCUCACCAAGGCGACGAUCGGUAGCUGGUCUGAGAGGAUGACCAGCCUCACUGGGACUGAGACACGGCCCAGACUCCUACGGGAGGCAGCAGUGGGGAAUAUUGGACAAUGGGCGCAAGCCUGAUCCAGCCAUGCCGCGUGGGUGAUGAAGGCCCUAGGG
rnacentral:rRNA from 1 species